rnacentral:rRNA from 1 species
UACAGAGGGUGCGAGCGUUAAUCGGAAUUACUGGGCGUAAAGCGCGCGUAGGCGGCCCGGUAAGUCCGCUGUGAAAGUCAAAGGCUCAACCUUUGAAAGCCGGUGGAUACUGCCGGGCUAGAGUCCGGAAGAGGCGAGUGGAAUUCCUGGUGUAGCGGUGGAAUGCGCAGAUAUCAGGAGGAACACCAAUAGCGAAGGCAGCUCGCUGGGACGGUACUGACGCUAAGGCGCGAAAGCGUGGGGAGCGAACAGG